AAAUCGAUUAAGGGAUAAUUACGUCUUUUUUUUUACCUUUGUGGUAUUGAGGCCAAAUGCUAGUGAAUUCGAUAAAGCAUAUGACUACGAGAUCCUAUGCUAAGAUGAUAAAUUGAACUCGUAUUACACAUUAAGUGAUUCAGAUCGUUGACUCUUACUAUUAGCACGGGGAUCGUUAGCACUUCGUCACACUAUCUACUAUUGUGGUUAUCAUGUGUUUUGGACUUAGUUUAUGGCAUGUAUAGGUUAGACUAUAAGUAGAAUGAUAUUUUGACUAUUGUAUAUAAGCCAUGCGAAUAUGGCAUCUUAUAGAAGUUUACUUUUAUAAGUUUUAAAUUCGAUCUUUGUUUGUAUCUAUUAGUUAUAUAUAUAAAUGAUCUUUUAUUUA